AUUCAGUCCGGAGCGGCGGACGUGCAGGUCGGAAAACCAGAGCAGGGNAUCCCCAGACGGGGGCCGUCCGACCGCACGAAGUCCCGCUGCACCGGACGCAUUUGUCUCUCGUCCCGAGGACGCCGCANCCGGUUGGGUAGCGCAAGCGCGACGGCCUGAGGGGCGGAAGAUGGCNGGUGGCCGGUGGCGUGCCUCGUGCGCGUCGCCGGUUGUUAGCCGUUCCGUCAGUGGCUCGUCACCCGACCGUGGUGUCGCGAGGCCCUUCGGGGUCUCGACGCCUCCUCCCCCCAAAAGGGAAGUUCGGGACANNAGUGCCNGCAGUUGGUCGACGCCGUCCCGUUUCGCACCCCACUAGGGGUGGUCGGGCGAGCGUGCUUGGCCUCCGAUCGCGGUGCCGGGCCCGUCGGGAGGCUGGAGGCUCGCGGCGAGUAGGUCGGUCACCCACCCGACCCGGUCUUGAAACACGGACCAAGGAGUCUAACAUGCGCGCGAGUCAAUGGGUCUUGAACAGGCCCAGAGGCGCAAUGAAAGCGAAGGUCGGCGGACGCCGACCGAGUUGGGAUCCGUCCCCCANGGGGCGGGCACCAACGACCCGUCUAUCCGGCUCGCCGGUUGGGCGGAGUGUGAACCCACACGUUGGGACCCGAAAGAUGGUGAACUAUGCCCGGACAGGACGAGGCCAGAAGAAACUCUGUGGGAGGUCCGCAGCGGUUCUGACGUGCAAAU
rnacentral:rRNA from 1 species